CCGAUGGGUAACGAUGCUUCGUGGGUGACUGUUGUUGAUGUGUGCAGAGGGUCCCUGGUUCGCGCCCGGGUAUGGGCGAGGGCACGGUCUAAAGUUAUACUGUUACAUGUAUAUAUGAGGCAUAUGGACAGUAAACUACCCAGAAACAAACAUUUAUUGACAAAGAAUUACAGCCCAGUCAGAUCAGAUGUUUCCUAGAGAAUACAACCCCAUGGUGUUGAGUAGGAGUCCUGAUCUAGGAUCAGGUCUGUUUCCUAGUGAAUACACCCAUGGUGUUGAGUAGGAGUCCUGAUCUAGGAUCAGGUCUGUUUCCUAGUGAAUACAACCCCAUGGUGUUGAGUAGGAGUCCUGAUCUAGGAUCAGGUCUGUUUCCUAGUGAAUACACCCAUGGUGUUGAGUAAGAGUCCUGAUCUAGGAUCAGGUCUGUUUCCUAGUGAAUACACCCCAUGGUGUUCAAUUGGAGUGUUACUGUCCCCAUUCUACCAUUAGGUUGGUACCCCAACACUGUUGCUAUCCAUUCUACCAUUAGGUUGGUACCCCAACACUGUUGCUAUCCAUUCUACCAUUAGGUUGGUACCCCAACACUGUUACUGUCCCCAUUCUACCAUUAGGUUGCUACCCCAACACUGUUUCUAUCCAUUCUACCAUUAGGUUGCUACCCCAACACUGUUACUAUCCAUUCUACCAUUAGGUUGGUACCCCAACACUGUUACUAUCCAUUAGGUUGCUACCCCAACACUUACGAUCCAUUCUACCAUUAGGUUGGUACCCCAACACUGUUACUAUCCAUUCUACCAUUAGGUUGGUACCCCAACACUGUUACUAUCCAUUCUACCAUUAGGUUGGCACCCCAACACUGAUCUGAAGCUGUGACCAAAGAUUGGGGUCCAUCUCCCCAAGAAGGUUGAUCAUCCUGGAACACGACUCAGUUCCUUUUCUCAACACCAUGUCGAUGAUGUCACGUGCCUUCUCUGCCCUCUCAGCGAUCCCCUUCACUGACUCCAUGUCCUCCUGGUUGAUGACUGUGUGUUGCAGGAGUCUGUCCAGCAGUUCAUUCAGGACAGGUCCUGAUACUCGUUUCACAAACUCUGCUGCUGCUCUGCAGAACCAGUCAGACUGCUCUCAGCCGGACCUCCUGCCCCCAACACAGCACCUGAGAGAGUCAGGUUACAAUAUAACUACAUUUGUACAUUUACAUUUCAGUCAUUUAGAAGCAGACACUUUCCUCCUUAAAUAAAAGCGACCUGAAAUAACAAGUAUUGAGAAAAAUAUAUUUUUUUACAAUGACGACCUGCAUCACUGAACAUAUUUAAGGCCGGUUUCACAGACAUAGAAAAACAGAUUGGGUCAUUCGGAACCAGGUUAAUCUACAUCAAGUCCUGGAGGAGAUGUCAUUGUUCUUGAAGACAGUCUUUUAUAAUCAGGACUAGUCCAGGUCCUACAGUAAACCAUGUUGACUGGCCCUCAUGCCAUUGGUUUGUACAGAGCAUUCAGAAAGUAUUCAGACCCCUUGACUUUUUCCACAUUUUGUUACGUUACGGACUUGUUCUGAAAUUGAUUAAUUGUUUUUCCCUCAUC